GAUAAAGAGGGAGAAAAAUAUUAGAUCCUUCAGCAUCCUUCAACAUCACAUCCUUAGCUUAUGCAUCCUUUUGACAAGCACUAAGAUAUCCUACACUUCCUUCUUUUCCUUCUACACCUUAUGUUUUAUUUCGCGAAGUCCUGUAGGAUUCUAGAGUCUUGUAGUCCUGCCCCGGUAAAGGUUCUAAUUCCAUCUCUCCACCUGGUUCUCUGUCUGGUGUUAGUGUGCUCCAUCCUGCCCCGGUAAAGGUUCCAAUGCUAUAUAAAAGGUUCUAAUGCCAUCUAACAGGUUCUAAAGCCAUUUAAAAGGUUCUAAUACCAUCUAACAGGUUCUAAUACCAUAUAACAGGUUCUAAUGCCAUCUAACAGGUUCUAAUGCCAUCUAACAGGUUCUAAUGCCAUCUUACAGGUUCUAAUACCAUAUAACAGGUUCUAAUGCCAUCUAACAGGUUUUAAUGCCAUCUAACAGGUUUUAAUGCCAUCUAACAGGUUUUAAUGCCAUCUAACAGGUUCUAAUGCCAUCUAACAGGUUUUAAUGCCAUCUAACAGGUUUUAAUGCCAUCUAACAGGUUCUAAUGCCAUCUAACAGGUUUUAAUGCCAUCUAACAGGUUCUAAUGCCAUCUAACAGGUUUUAAUGCCAUCUAACAGGUUCUAAUGCCAUCUAACAGGUUCUAAUACCAUAUAACAGGUUCUAAUGCCAUCUAACAGGUUCUAAUGCCAUCUAACAGGUUCUAAUACCAUAUAACAGGUUCUAAUGCCAUAUAACAGGUUCUAAUGCCAUCUCCACCUGGUUCUCUGUCUGGUGUUAGUGUGCUCCAUCCUGCCCCGGUAAAGGUUCUAAUUCUAAGCUUGCAAAAACAUGUAUAGGUCAUUUUUCCUCCCAAUUUCUUCCUUUCUUCCUUCAAUUAUUCAUUCUCUUUUCCUUCAUUUAAUCGUACGUGUUCCUAUCUCUGUCUGUCUUUAAUCUUGGUCAUCUUCAUUCACUAUCUCUCUUUCUCUCUCUCUCUCUCUUAUCUCUCUCUCUAAAUUUCCAAACCACUUGACUCCACUAUCUCUCUCUCUCUCUCUCUCUCUCUCUCUCUCUCUCUCUCUCUCUCUCUCUCUCUCUCUCUCUCUCUCUGAUAAAGUCUUCAUGUAAUCAAAUGACCUCGCUCAUGUCUCCACGCGGGUCAACAAGUGUGAUAAUGCUCUCUCUCUCUCUCUCUCUCUCUCUCUCUCUCUCUCUCUCUCUCUCUCUCUCUCUCUCUCUCUCUCUCUCUCUCUCUCUCUCUCUCUCUCUCUCUCUCAAUGACUGCUUACUGCGCACUUCCUCUAUCCCAGGUGCCAUGAGAGAGAGAGAGAGAGAGAGAGAGAGAGAGGGAGAGAGAGGGAGAGGGAGGGAGAGAGAGAGAGAGAGAAAAGGGAGGGAGGGAGAAAGGGAGAUGAAGAUCCCUCUCCACACUUCCUCUCUCUCUCUCUCUCUCUCUCUCUCUCUCUCUCUCUCUCUCUCUCUCUCUCUCUCUCUCUCUCUCUCUCUCUGUCAUAAUUUCUCCCUAACACAAAAUAGGAUCAAAGACUCCUCCUCCUCCUCCUCCUCCUCCUCCUCCUCUGCAUUGGAAGGUCGGGAGGGAGGGAGAGAGGGCAGGAAGGGAGGAGGGGGAGGGGGGGAGGGGGGGGAGGGAGUCAAGUUGGCAACCAUAUUCAUGUCUUGAAAUUACUCUGUUAAGCUCUAAAUUGACAAGGAAGUCACUGAUAACCUCACGUGGUGUGUGUGUGUGUGUGUGUGUGUGUGUGUGUGUGUGUGUGUGUGGUGGGGGGGAAUGAGAGCGUGUCAGGCAGUGUAGAAGUAGUAGUAGUAGUAGUAGUAGUAGUAGUGGUAGUAGUAGUAGUUGUUGUGGUAGUAGUAGUAGUAGUGGUGGUGGUGGUGGUGGUGGUGGUUGUGGUCUCUAAGGUGACAUUCUAAGCCUCUGUAAAUUAAUUCUUCCUUACCAAACUUUCCUCUUCCUUAUAAACUUUGAAUUAGUGCUAAUACCGCCUUCCUCCUCCUCCUCCUCCUCCUCCUCCUCCUCCUCAACCAUCUUUUCUCUCAACCAUUUAUCUCUCUUCCUCAACCAUCUCUUUCUCUCUCUUUCUCAACCAUCCUCCGUAUCCUCCUCAACCACCUCUCUCUCUCUCCCUUUCUACCCAGUCGACCAGUCAACUAGUCAACCAGCCAGUCAGCCUUCACACAGUUCUCGACCAUCUGCCCACAUCCAUGAAUUUAGUUAACCUCGAUUUAAAACAUUUGCCCGUAUUUCCUCAACUCUAAAACCUCCCAAAUUUGUUUUUAAUAAUGUACUUGUUUUGACCUAUGUUCUUUAGCUUAGUAUAUGUCAGCUGUUCUACCUCUACGUCAAUCUCUGUAUCUUCUUCUAAAACGUUCAUUCUUAUUUCCAUUAUCUCAAAAUCUUCAUAAUUGGUUGCUAUAUUUAAUUAGUUUUGGCCUAUUUUUCUUUAGGUUAUUAUGCGUCAGCUGUUCUACCUCUACGUCAAUCUCUGUAUCUUCUUCUAAAACGUUCAUUCUUAUUUCCAUUAUCUCAAAAUCUUCAUAAUUGGUUGCUAUAUUUAAUUAGUUUUGGCUUAUUUUUCUUUAGGUUAUUAUACGUC